AGAAAGUAAAGUGAACCUGGGAGGUGGAGGUUAUAGUGAGCUGAGAUCAUGCCACUGCACUUCAGCCUGGGCAGCAGCAAGACUCCGUCUCAAAAAAAAGAAAAAAAAAAGAAAUAUGCGAGCUGCUAAGCUAGGCAGUUCUGGCUCAAGAUCUCUCAUGAUACUGCAGACACCACACCAACGAGGACCCCAGUCCUCUGGCACUGGAGGACCCACUUAGAAGGCGGAUGACUCACAUGGCUCUUGGCAGGAGACCUCAGUUCCUCCCCACAUAGGCCUCCCUAUAGGACUGCUUGAGUGUCCCAUUUACCAAAUGAUCUAAAUAUGUUCCGGUUUUGAUUGGCUGCUCUGCAAUGUGGGCCGUUAUCUAGCUGAUUCGGUGGGGCUUGAAGUGUCAGUUCCUGCUGCAGGGAUGUUAUAUGGAACCUUUGGCAGGCCGCUACAGACGAAUCAUAAUAUAAACCUGUGCUAGUUAUUGAUUACGUCCCAGCUCCUGCGUUGCCUGCUCUGUGAAAUGGUUCUGGCCCUUUAGUUUUUCCUUUACCAGUUGGCAUGAUCUUAAGCUUUGUCAGUAGAGGGCGCUGGAGAGACAUUGCAGGAGACUGGAGUUUCCCUUCCUGCUUCUGGUGUGUUCUCUCUAGGCUCCGGCACGACGGGUGGCUUCUGCAGCACACAGGGCUUCGCCAGCACCCAGCUCCUGCAGCAUGGGCAGCUCCUGUGACAGCAGGCGCCCACAGCCUGCAAAGCGUCUCCAGUGCCGCCGCCUCAGUGAACCGCAACCAGCGGCACCUAGCAGCUUUCUCCGCCACCCUCUUCAGGUAGUUCUGUAGCAGCGCGUUUCUCAUGAGACACUUCCCUGUGAGCAGCUUUUUCUACCCUUGAGGAUGGAUUUCCAGCAAAUUCUGCCCAUGUGGUACCACAGCCACUUCUCUGCCAUUCAGUGAAACUGCCGUUGUGCCCUCUUCAAGGUCUGGAUCUAAGCCCAGGGACCAGGAAACCUCUUGCUUGAGUGCUGGAACUCAGGCCAGAAGGCAGGAAGCCCGCCUGACCCCACGUCUCAGGCUGCCAGAGGAGCGUGCGAUGAGGAAGGCUGGACUGUCUUCACAGGACACCAGAGAGAAGCCUCAAGCCACUGCCCCCUGACAAGUCUCAGCUCUCCAGCCUGUCUCCUCACUCCCCUCCCCUCCACAUGGGGGGGUUGGGGUGGGGGCGGGGAAGGUUCGGGGCAGGGGUCAUUUCAGCUACUGGGCACCAGUCUCCUCCUCAUGUUUAUCCUGUUCCCUUUGCUUGAAAGGUUCGUACUCCAGAUCCUUGUAAAACCGCUUCUCACCCUUUGAGUCUCAGCUUAAAUGUCCCCUCCUUGGAGGGGUCUUCCCUGACAAUGAAGCUCCGACCGUCCUCUCCUGUUUUACCCAGUUCAUUUCUUUCUGGCAUUUGUAACUACUUGAAGUUAAAGUGUGUGCCAUGUAUGUGUCUGUCAGUUUCCCCCACCACACUGGAACCCCAUGAGGGCAAGGGUCUUGUCUGGAAUCUUCCUCACUUACAACUCAACAUUUAGCAAAGGACCUUUGCUAAAUUAACAGGCAUUCAUUUUGUAUUUGAAAAAUGAACGAGUGAGGCCGGGCGUGGUGGCUCACACCUGCAAUCCCGGCACUUUGGGAGACCGAGGCGGGCUUGAGGUCAGGAGUUCGAGACCGGCCUGGCCAACAUGGUGAAACCCCAUUAAAAAUACAAAAAUUGGCUGGGCGUGGUGGCUCACGCCUGUAAUCCCAACACUUUGGGAGGCUGAAGCGGGC
rnacentral:lncRNA from 1 species